AUUGAUCCUGCCGGACCUGACUGCUAUCGUAUUGGUACUAAGCCAUGCGAGUCGUUGUAGCAAUACAAGGCGGACUGCUCAGUAACACGUAGUUAACUUAACCUAUGGAUGGGAAUAACCUCGGGAAACUGAGAAUAAUACCCAAUGGGCCACAGUGCCUGGAAUGGCCUGUGGUUGAAAUGAUUUAUCGCCGUAGGAUAGGACUGCGGCCUAUCAGCUUGUUGGUGAGGUAAUGGCCCACCAAGGCUAUAACAGGUACGGGCUCUGAGAGGAGGGGCCCGGAGAUGGGUACUGAGACACGGACCCAGGCCCUAUGGGGCGCAGCAGGCGAGAAACCUUUGCAAUGUGCGAAAGCACGACAAGGUUAAUCCGAGUGUCUCCUGCUAAAGGAGUCUUUUGUCAGUUGUAGAAUCACUGGUGAAUAAGGGGUGGGCAAGUUCUGGUGUCAGCCGCCGCGGUAAAACCAGCACCUCGAGUGGUCAGGAGGUUUAUUGGGCCUAAAGCAUCCGUAGCCGGUUGCAUAAGUUUUCGGUUAAAUCUAUGCGCUUAACGUAUAGGCCGCCGAAAAUACUGUGCAGCUUGGGAGUGGGAGAGGU
rnacentral:rRNA from 1 species